UACGAAGGGGGCUAGCGUUGCUCGGAAUCACUGGGCGUAAAGCGCACGUAGGCGGCUUUUUAAGUCAGGGGUGAAAUCCUGGAGCUCAACUCCAGAACUGCCUUUGAUACUGAGAGCUUGAGUCCGGGAGAGGUGAGUGGAACUGCGAGUGUAGAGGUGAAAUCGUAGAUAUUCGCAAGAACACCAGUGGCGAAGGCGGCUCACUGGCCCGGUACUGACGCUGAGGUGCGAAAGCGUGGGGAGCAAACAGG
rnacentral:rRNA from 1 species